rnacentral:rRNA from 1 species
GACGAACGCUGGCGGCGUGCCUAAUACAUGCAAGUUGAGCGCUGAAGGUUGGUACUUGUACCCACUGGAUGAGCAGCGAACGGGUGAGUAACGCGUGGGGAAUCUGCCUUUGAGCGGGGGACAACAUUUGGAAACGAAUGCUAAUACCGCAUAAAAACUUUAAACACAAGUUUUAAGUUUGAAAGAUGCAAUUGCAUCACUCAAAGAUGAUCCCGCGUUGUAUUAGCUAGUUGGUGAGGUAAAGGCUCACCAAGGCGAUGAUACAUAGCCGACCUGAGAGGGUGAUAGGCCACAUUGGGACUGAGACACGGCCCAAACUCCUACGGGAGGCAGCAGUAGGGAAUCUUCGGCAAUGGACGAAAGUCUGAACGAGCAACGCCGCGUGAGUGAAGAAGGUGUUCGGAUCGUAAAACUCUGUUGGUAGAGAAGAACGUUGGUGAGAGUGGAAAGCUCAUAAAGUGACGGUAACUACCCAGAAAGGGACGGCUAACUACGU